rnacentral:rRNA from 1 species
AAACUCAAAUGAAUUGACGGGGCCCGCACAAGCGGUGGAGCAUGUGGUUUAAUUCGAUGCAACGCGAAGAACCUUACCUACCCUUGACAUCCUGCGAACUUGGUAGAGAUACCUUGGUGCCUUCGGGAACGCAGAGACAGGUGCUGCAUGGCUGUCGUCAGCUCGUGUUGUGAAAUGUUGGGUUAAGUCCCGUAACGAGCGCAACCCUUGUCCUUAUUUGCCAGCGAGUAAAGUCGGGAACUCUAAGGAGACUGCCGGUGACAAACCGGAGGAAGGUGGGGACGACGUCAAGUCAUCAUGGCCCUUACGGGUAGGGCUACACACGUGCUACAAUGGCCAGUACAAAGGGUUGCCAACUCGCGAGAGUGCGCUAAUCCCAUAAAGCUGGUCUCAGUCCGGAUCGGAGUCUGCAACUCGACUCCGUGAAGUCGGAAUCGCUAGUAAUCGUGAAUCAGAAUGUCACGGUGAAUACGUUCCCGGGCCUU